rnacentral:rRNA from 1 species
CCUACGGGUGGCAGCAGUGAGGAAUAUUGGUCAAUGGGCGCAAUCCUGAACCAGCCAUGCCGCGUGCAGGACGACGGCUCUACGAGUUGUAAACUGCUUUUGUACCGGGGUAAACUCCCUUACGUGUAUCGUGUUGAAAGUACGGUACGAAUAAGGAUCGGCUAACUCCGUGCCAGCAGCCGCGGUAAUACGGAGGAUCCGAGUGUUAUCCGGAUUGAUUGGGUUUAAAGGGUGCGUAGGUGGUUUGAUAAGUUAGCGGUGAAAUGUCGAGGCUCAACAUCGGAGCUGCCGCUAAUACUGUUGGACUAGAGAUUGGAUGCGGCAGGCGGAAUGUGUAGUGUAGCGGUGAAAUGCAUAGAUAUCAUACAGAACACCGAUUGCGAAGGCAGCUUACCAAGCUGGAUCUGACAUUGAGGCACGAAAGCGUGGGGAGCGAACAGGAUUAGAUACCCCAGUAGUC